GACCAUAGCUUCUCCUCCUGUGUCACUGCUCCUGCUGUGCUCUCCACCUGGCAUGCCUGCCUUUGUAUCUCUGCAAGUCAAAAAUUCUACUGACUCCAAAGCUAAGGAUUGUAAUCAUGAAUUUAUCAGUAGGAACAAAACUACAGAGCUCACCUGUAUUGUCACCAAGUGGUGCUGGCAAUAAGGAGUCAAGAACCUUGGCUUGGAGAUACGGUGGAAAAAUAAUAGGUGCCAAGACAGACAAGAUAGAGGGCAGAUAAAGGCUCAUCCCUUGUUAAAUUGGAAGGAAUCUUUGCUAGGGCAGUUGGAAUCAUAAUAAAGGAAAAUGCAUGUGAGCUUUUGUUGCAAACAUUUAUUUUAAGAUUUAUUUAUUUAUUCAUGAG
rnacentral:lncRNA from 1 species